rnacentral:lncRNA from 1 species
GUUAUUAAAGGUAACAUUAAAACAAGCUUAACGACCUUAUUGCAAGGAAUCACUAAAGCAAUAUUAGCAUUAGUCCUAAGGGCUGAUUACCUUAUCUCAACUUUCUCCCCAAGGAGAGACAAAUACCAAGGAGAUAUCAGGAAGAAUAUUGUCCCCAGUAAAUACCAAGUCACAUCAGGAAGAAUAUUGUGGAGAGAGAGGUAAAGAAUCAGGAUGGAAACAGAAAAUAGGCCGAACAAUGGCCAAGCAUCAAAAUCCUAAGUCAGACAGUGCUAGGACUGCUUUUUUCUGUAUCAGACACGUGGGCUCCUGCUGUGUCUUCCUGGAAAGCAGAGGCCAAGGAUGGAGCAGACCAAGAGGAUGCCAGGAAAAGUCACAAAGAAGCCCAGAAAGCACAGCUGGAAGCCAAGAACCCUAUUUUUGGUUUGUGUGGGUGGAAGGUGAGGGACAAUAUAUAGUGACCAACAGGAUUCUUCAUUUGAAAGAGAAUGGAGUACAUCAGACCUGUGUAUUUAGGUGAAGUAUGAUAAACAUCAUCAUACUUCAAAGAUUAUGAACAUCAAAGAUUAUGGAAAGGAACAUGACUGCUUAGUUUAUUCCAUUACCAGUGAUCUGCUUGUUUGUUCAUUUGCUUACCCAUCCAUUCAUUUAUUCAUUCAUUCCUCCAUCCAUUCUCUUUCACUUAUUCUACAAUCAUGAUUGUAUGCCUACCAUAUCGCUAGAGAGAGG